GAUGUUUGGUUUAUAUGUCCAUUAUCACAGAUCCAGCACAAACUGAAGACAGUAGGACUGAUGGAUCAAUAUUCAGAGUGAUUGUGAUUAUUGUUGAGUUUGCAGUGUUUGCUGCUCCUACUGUGAUUCUUCUUCAGAUCAUCUGUGCAAGAAGAGCUGGGAUGAAGAACUUACAGCACUGAGAGGAAAUAGUGAAUAAAAUACUCUCUACUAAUAAAAGGCCAAAUUACAGCAAAAUGUAUCUUCAUCUCAGUGAUGUUAUGAA